AACCGAUACAUCAACAAAACAUAGAAAUCACAUGUUCUUCAUAAUAAUAAUAGUGAUUAGUGAUGAUAAUAAUAAUAUUUCUGUAAUAAAAGCACAACAAAGUCAUUGUUUGCGUUUAUAUUGGGAUUUUAUUGCGCCCCCUUGUGUCCGCCGCGCCUCUGUAGUGCGCUCUAUAGCGCCCUUUAUCAGGUGGGGGGCGGAGGGAUCUCGGAGAGUGAUGAUGGAGGGAUACAGGUACCGUUUCACAUAUCACUGCUCACAAACAUAAUGGAGAAGAAGCGGUCGAAGCCAUCUGGUGCCCAAUUUUGGAAAAAAAGAAAAGAAGAGGAGGAGAAACGAGGAAAAGAUGCAGGUAUGCAUCUCUUUAUUAUUUAGUUGGUAUUUUUCCCGCCUGUCCCCCAACUUAUUGAUUACCUAACCUCUCUAAUCUGAACGUUUUGCAUGGUGCUAUGAUGAUCCCUUCAAAUGUCUUUUGCUAGCUUCUUAUGUUGCAUGCAUUUAGAACUACUUCCAACCGCUAGCUUUUUCUUUGUCACAUGAGCUUUUAUGAAAAGCUAAGAGUGGAAAACCGAAAGGCUGAUAACCAAACGCUAUCAAAUUAAAAUUAGUCUUUGAGUAUUUUGCUGAAAUACAUUGACGGCGGGCGGCAGGUCUCGCGCCGGCGCCAUUCGCCUUUCUAUUUGGACUCGGGAAAUGAGCUACGUAUUAUUUACCCCACGAAAAACGGAGCGGCAGCGGGCCGCUGGAGGUGCCCUGCUAGUAAGAUCCCGUUUAUACUGUAAACUGCCAUAACAUAAAAACUAUAAUAGCUAGAGCGGUCUUUUUUUAGCUGAAAGUUGAGACUGUCUCGCCUUUCAGCACUGUACAAGUCGAUGAUGUCAUCGUGUUGCGUUAAGUGUGCUGCACAGCACACCGCGGCUAUGUUAACUCACAGUGACCUUGAAGCAGCGUGGGAGAGUGGAAGAAUUUAACCAGUUAAAAUGGAUUCAUGGAUAUUUAAUCAAUAGUUGUGGCUCCUCUUGUCAUUUAGUUUUUUGUGUGCCGGAGACAUUUGCUGAAUAAGGAAAUAAAAACUUAAAAUGACAAAAAAAAUUAGGGAAAAACACUUGUUUUGUAUUUUAUCAAUUAUUAAUGAUUAAUAGAUUGUUGGUGUUUUAACUUUUGGUAAAGGAAAACACAAUUUCCAGGCAGCCCCAGUCUGGAGAAGUGAUGGUGACAUCAGCCGUUAAAAAUAAAUAAUACUCUGAGGUUUUUAUUAAUAAUUUCUACUUUUACUUCAGUAUUUCUCUAACAGCAGUACUUUUACUUGUAAAUGAGUAAUAUUUUAGCAAUGUAACAGUACUUGUACUUGAGUACAGAUUUUCAGAAUUCUUUCCACUACUGCUGAAAACUGUAAAUGCUCAUUGUAACAUGUUAAUUAAAAUGCUGAAGCAACAGACGUGACAUGAAGAUUGUAUUGUUUGUUUUAUGCAACAUCAGGAGCCCUACGCAGUUAUUUUGGGAUGACAUCAGCUGCCACUGAGGAACAGCCAUCUACCUCCACUGCUCAUAGGCCAGUAUUUGAACUCGAGGAGGGAGAGUCUGCUGGCACCACAUCUCCCCAGGAAGAUACUUUAGAGAGACCUACCAGUCUAUGUGAACUUGAUGAGGGACAGCCAGCUACCACGUCUCCCCAACAAGAUACGUCAGAGAAGCCUGAACGAUCAACCAAUGAGUCCCAUUGAAGGUGAUGAUGAGCCUCUUUCUUCAGACCCAGCCAAGUGGCCAUCACCAAUUACCGACAGCAUACGCACAGAGCUAGUUCGAAGAGGACCUACCAAGGUGCCAACUACUUUCAUAUUUCCCAGGAAUGAAGGCGAUGGCAGGUGUUGUCAUCAUCACUAUUUCAGUAGAACUUUGACAAGUGGUGAGAAGGUGGCCAGGAGCUGGAUGUUGUAUUCAGUUAGCAAACUUUGUUAUAUAUAAUACACUCCACGCCAUUUGAAACAAAGUUGUAGGUGUAAUUUUUUUUUCUUGUGUGUG